rnacentral:lncRNA from 1 species
UAUUGUUACCUUUUUUUUUUAUAUAAGUUGUGAGGACUUUUUUGAUAUUGUUAAGUUUGUAUGAGAAUUAUUAGAAUUUUUAUUUGAUGGUUAAAAUUAGGGUAAACUUCAAGUACCACUCCUAUGGUUUCGUGUUUUCUCGCUUUAGUAUCAUGUGGUUUAAAGUGUAUCAAUUUAGGACCCCGUGGUUUCUUUUUUUUCUUUUUUGUCAGCUCUUCUGUUAACAUUUCGUUAAAUUAUAUACAAAAAACUUCAAACACCUCACCUAGGUUUAUCGAAUAUUCACUUUAGUACCUUUUAGUUUUAAGUUUGUCACUGUUUUAACGAAAAAAAUUAAUGGAGGGGAUAAUAAAAAGAGAAAAUUGAAACCACGGGCACUAAAUUGAUACAUUUUAAACCACAAGAUAUUAAAAUAAAAAAAUACGAAACCAUACGGGUGGUAUUUGAAAUUUUUCCUUAAAUUUAUAUGGAUUAGUUGUUACGAUAUUUUAAGUUGUUAGGAUUAUAUAUAAUUUAUUGAAUCUUUAUAUAUAUGAAAAUAGAAAGAAACAAUAAAUUAUUCACUGUUUUCUACUUUAAAAGAGAAAAAUGUGGAUCAUUUACCGUCUCUAAUGAAAAAGGAAAAGAUGAUGAAUUAUUUAUCGUCUUCUAAAUUUUAUUAAAGACGGUAAAUAAUUGACCUUUUUCAAUUAUUUUUACACCCCGAUAGUGAGUUGAAUAAAAUAGAGUUAUUUGACCAAAUAAAUUUUUUUACAAACUUAUUUGGCCGAUUAUAAAUUUUUAAAGGUUAAAAUGAAAAAAGUCCCCUCUAGUUAUAAAAAUUGUGGUACUUUUAUUUUUAAACUAUUGAUAUAUAAGUAUUGUAAAAGUUUGGUGAUUGGUGAUGAGAUAAUAAUUAUAAUUUCACUUCUAUAUCAACAAUUUGUCAAUAUUUAACUAUCUAAAUUGGGUUGUACGAUUUGAUUGCAACAAUUCAUAAAAUUUGAGCCAGUUAUUUUAAUAAAUCAAAAUUUGAGGACAAAAGUAUCACAUGUCUUAUAAUUUGAGGACCAAAAGUGUAAUUUGUUAGAUUUUAUUGGAUCUUUUGGUGAUUUAAAAUUUGUUAAGUCUCUUGGGCAGCCCAAUACUUGAUGGGCCUUGCUUUGGGCUCUAAGAUUUUCACAUGUAGGGAUUAGUCCCACAUUAGAAACAAAAAGUAUAUUAUUGUUAUUUAUAUACUACUUCAUACUUAAAUUAAUUGCUUAGAAGAAAAUAAGAGUUAUGCUCUCAACUAAGUACACAAACGCACGGCACUAGCACGAACUGAGUCGAGCGGCGGUGCGCCUGGUUCAGGCACUCGGUUUAUUUUAUUUUUAUUUUUUAUUUUUUAUUUUAUCUUUAUUUGUUUGAGAGCCCUAAUCUAUAUCCUAACCUUAUGGAAUUGACACGUUGAAGCAAGAUCUUUAUCUUAAAUAUAUAUUGGAGGACGUUGCAUGAGUUCAACUUGAAUUUAUUUUUUAAUUUUAUCUUUAUUUGUUUGGGAGCCCUAAUCCGUAUCCUAACCCGUAUCCUAAUCUGUAUCCCGUAUAUUACAGAGUCGUAGGCUUAUCUUGGGCUACACGAAAUUGACACGUUGAAACAAAAUUUUUAUCUUGAAUUAUAUAUUGGAGAAGGUUGCAUGGGUUCAACCUAAAUCUGGGCUUACCUGAGACCAAAAACCCUAAUCUCUAUCUCGCAUUCUUCUGUUUUCUCGCCAUUGAUAUUUUGCGCUAAUUUUUACCGAGCUUUCUAAUAUUUUGCUGGAUCUAAAGUUUGUUGGGGUCAUCUUGCGCCACCUUAAAAGCGUGCAGACGGAAUGGAAUGUGAACGUUAUAUCGCUGAAAGUAAAUUAACAUGAAGCGUCGCACAAGGAGGGACAAUUUCACUUCUAGGACAGUACUGCUCUGCAUGUCUCGAUUCACAGGGCUUUUCUAAUCCAUUUCCCUACAAUAUUUACUAUUUAUUUUUUUUUCAAAAUUUUUAAAAAUUGAAAUCAAACUUUAAAAUUAUUUUUUUAAAAAAAUUUAAUAUAAGAUCAGAAAGACUUUCCAACAUAAUUUACCCUCACAAAUAUUUAAACAAUUCUUUUUUUUUUUU